UACGUAGGGAGCAAGCGUUGUUCGGAUUUACUGGGCGUAAAGGGUGCGUAGGCGGCCCUGUAAGUCAGGGGUGAAAUCCUGGAGCUCAACUCCAGAACUGCCUUUGAUACUGAAGAUCUUGAGUUCGGGAGAGGUGAGUGGAACUGCGAGUGUAGAGGUGAAAUUCGUAGAUAUUCGCAAGAACACCAGUGGCGAAGGCGGCUCACUGGCCCGAUACUGACGCUGAGGCACGAAAGCGUGGGGAGCAAACAGG
rnacentral:rRNA from 1 species